GAUGAACGCUUGCGGCGUGCCUAAUACAUGCAAGUCGAGCGAACAGACGAGGAGCUUGCUCCUUUGACGUUAGCGGCGGACGGGUGAGUAACACGUGGGUAACCUACCUAUAAGACUGGGAUAACUUCGGGAAACCGGAGCUAAUACCGGAUAAUAUUUCGAACCGCAUGGUUCGAUAGUGAAAGAUGGCCCUGCUAUCACUUAUAGAUGGACCUGCGCCGUAUUAGCUAGUUGGUAAGGUAACGGCUUACCAAGGCAACGAUACGUAGCCGACCUGAGAGGGUGAUCGGCCACACUGGAACUGAGACACGGUCCAGACUCCUACGGGAGGCAGCAGUAGGGAAUCUUCCGCAAUGGGCGAAAGCCUGACGGAGCAACGCCGCGUGAGUGAUGAAGGUCUUCGGAUCGUAAAACUCUGUUAUUAGGGAAGAACAAACGUGUAAGUAACUGUGCACGUCUUGACGGUACCUAAUCAGAAAGCCACGGCUAACUACGUGCCAGCAGCCGCGGUAAUACGUAGGUGGCAAGCGUUAUCCGGAAUUAUUGGGCGUAAAGCGCGCGUAGGCGGUUUUUUAAGUCUGAUGUGAAAGCCCACGGCUCAACCGUGGAGGGUCAUUGGAAACUGGAAAACUUGAGUGCAGAAGAGGAAAGUGGAAUUCCAUGUGUAGCGGUGAAAUGCGCAGAGAUAUGGAGGAACACCAGUGGCGAAGGCGACUUUCUGGUCUGUAACUGACGCUGAUGUGCGAAAGCGUGGGGAUCAAACAGGAUUAGAUACCCUGGUAGUCCACGCCGUAAACGAUGAGUGCUAAGUGUUAGGGGGUUUCCGCCCCUUAGUGCUGCAGCUAACGCAUUAAGCACUCCGCCUGGGGAGUACGACCGCAAGGUUGAAACUCAAAGGAAUUGACGGGGACCCGCACAAGCGGUGGGGCAUGUGGUUUAAUUCGAAGCAACGCGAAGAACCUUACCAAAUCUUGACAUCCUUUGACCCUUCUAGAGAUAGAAGUUUCCCCUUCGGGGGACAAAGUGACAGGUGGUGCAUGGUUGUCGUCAGCUCGUGUCGUGAGAUGUUGGGUUAAGUCCCGCAACGAGCGCAACCCUUAAGCUUAGUUGCCAUCAUUAAGUUGGGCACUCUAAGUUGACUGCCGGUGACAAACCGGAGGAAGGUGGGGAUGACGUCAAAUCAUCAUGCCCCUUAUGAUUUGGGCUACACACGUGCUACAAUGGACAAUACAAAGGGCAGCGAAACCGCGAGGUCAAGCAAAUCCCAUAAAGUUGUUCUCAGUUCGGAUUGUAGUCUGCAACUCGACUACAUGAAGCUGGAAUCGCUAGUAAUCGUAGAUCAGCAUGCUACGGUGAAUACGUUCCCGGGUCU
rnacentral:rRNA from 1 species